CCAAUUCUGAGAACUACUCAUUCCCUGGGUGUCUCUGGGGAUUCAGUGAAACGGUCUCUAUUGAUAGCCAGAUCAGACUGUGAAUGAAUGACCUUUUAAAACAGCCAGGUGUUUAUCUCCCAGUGCAUCCUUCCCUCUCUUCAGGAUAAAUCUUGGACAGUUAAGCUUAUCCUCAUGAUGACUCACAACCAUCUAAGGAAAAAGAUACUCCAAAACAGGGCUCCAACUGGGUGGGCCUAGGCCAUCUCAAUGUCUCCAGUCCAGAUCAACAAGGAACAGAAAUACUGAGGGGUGGAAGAAAUGACGAAGAAGCAGGGAGGAGGUUGGGAAUCCAUGUGACCAUUUUCCAGCCAUUCUGGGAGUCCUCUGAGCAGCCAGAACAGAAGCAUGGCCCAGCCUCCCCACAG
rnacentral:lncRNA from 10 species